rnacentral:rRNA from 1 species
GAACGAACGCUGGCGGCAUGCCUAACACAUGCAAGUCGAACGAGACCUUCGGGUCUAGUGGCGCACGGGUGCGUAACGCGUGGGAACCUGCCCUUAGGUUCGGAAUAACUCCCCGAAAGGGGUGCUAAUACCGGAUAAUGUCUUCGGACCAAAGAUUUAUCGCCUUUGGAUGGGCCCGCGUUGGAUUAGCUAGUUGGUAGGGUAAAAGCCUACCAAGGCGACGAUCCAUAGCUGGUCUGAGAGGAUGAUCAGCCACACUGGGACUGAGACACGGCCCAGACUCCUACGGGAGGCAGCAGUGGGGAAUAUUGGACAAUGGGCGAAAGCCUGAUCCAGCAAUGCCGCGUGAGUGAUGAAGGCCUUAGGGUUGUAAAGCUCUUUUGCCCGGGAUGAUAAUGACAGUACCGGGAGAAUAAGCUCCGGCUAACUCCGUG